rnacentral:rRNA from 1 species
GACGAACGCUGGCGGCGCGCCUAAAACAUGCAAGUCGAACGAGAAGCCCGGGCUUGCCCGGGUGGACAGUGGCGAACGGGUGAGUAACACGUGAGGAACCUGCCCCGAAGACCGGGACAACACCGGGAAACCGGUGCUAAUACCGGAUGCCUUCACCGGAUCGCAUGGUCUGGUGAAGAAAUGGAUUCCGCUUCGGGAUGGCCUCGCGGCCUAUCAGCUUGUUGGUGAGGUAAUGGCUCACCAAGGCGACGACGGGUAGCUGGUCUGAGAGGAUGUCCAGCCACACUGGGACUGAGACACGGCCCAGACUCCUACGGGAGGCAGCAGUUAGGAAUCUUGCGCAAUGGGCGAAAGCCUGACGCAGCGACGCCGCGUGCGGGAUGAAGGCCUUCGGGUUGUAAACCGCUUUCAGCAGGGACGAAAUUGACGGUACCUGCAGAAGAAGCCCCGGCCAACUACGUGCCAGCCGCCGCGGUAA